rnacentral:rRNA from 1 species
UACGUAGGUGGCAAGCGUUGUCCGGAAUUAUUGGGCGUAAAGCGCGCGCAGGUGGUUCUUUAAGUCUGAUGUGAAAGCCCACGGCUCAACCGUGGAGGGUCAUUGGAAACUGGGGAACUUGAGUGCAGAAGAGGAAAGUGGAAUUCCAAGUGUAGCGGUGAAAUGCGUAGAGAUUUGGAGGAACACCAGUGGCGAAGGCGACACGCUGGGCCGUACCUGACACUGAUGCGCGACAGCAUGGGGAGCAAACAGG